UUUCUCUAGUUGUGUACACAAUAUAAUCUCACAAUUUAACAAGUGACACGAUAACGGCCACUAUGAGAUAGCAAUCAAACCGAAAACAAUUGAACGCAAUAAUGAAAUGUUUAUUUGUCGAAUCUCCACUGUGAAUGGCUGUGAGUCAUUUUAAUUUAAUAAUUACUGCGUAAGAAACAAUCGUUUCCCAUUGCUGCUUGAGGUGAGCGAUAAAGAAAGUGUAUCAGGAAAAUGGACUGUACGUAAGCGAAAUUGCGUAUCAAAAUACCGACAGUGUAAGGUUGAUUAUGAAAGUUAUAAAAUUUAUGUUCAGCAUGGUUGAGCUUUCCUUGCUCGUCACUUCCUACCACUAAAAUAUUCAAAUUUGAAGAGAAAACUGUCCAUCAUUCCUGCACAUUCUGGUGCAAUAAAAUCGGUAUAUAGAACCUGCACCGUGAAAAUCUUUCACGUUUAGCGUUAAAAGCGUUUACUUCGUCACACAAAAUUUAUUUCGAUGUACGACACCACGAUUAUAAUUAUGAAAUUGAUAAUCGUGUGGUGAAUAAUUGCUUUUCAUUAGUCCAUUAAAACGGUAUACGGUUUCUUUGUUAUAAAUAUGAUUAUGCAGUCGUUCUGCGUCGUAAAACAAUGGAACUUGUUGCUGGUAGACGGUAAUUAUUCACACAUGCGAGGUGUAGAUGAUUGGAAUAUCCAGACAAAGGGAACAAUCCAAAUGAUUUUAUUGAAAGCAAUUACUGUCACUCUUAUAGGUUUAAUUCACUUACGUAUUGAUUAACACUGAAAACGCCGACGUAUUACAUACCUACACACAUUCUAUCAUUUAUUCUGGGUACUUCAAAGGAAAUUGGAAGAUAUUGAAAGCUAAAACACAUUUGGAAAAUUCAAACCGAACAAUAACGUCGUCAUUACAUGAAAAUUUAUUCAUAAUUGUGAACAUCACGCAAAUACACUUACACAUCCUCAUUGAGAAUGUAAGUGAAAAUAAUUACAGCGAAAAUGAAAAUUAAUAAUUGGAAGUAACUCAAUUACAAAGUUAUCAUGAUCGUCUGCAGAAUUUUUUUGUUUGUUUAAUUAUCCGUUCAAUUCGCUGAUUCCUUUCUCAUCAGCAUAAUCAAUCAAAAUUUGCAGAUUUAAUUGAACGUGGGAGUGUUUGUAUGUUCUAAUACAAUAAAGGUGUUAUGAUAACCGCCCUCCGA